GGGCAGCUGGGGCUCAUCGUCUUAGAGCACUGUUUCUGUGCCAUUCCAGUGCCAACUGUGGAAAGGGGAUGCAUCAGGUGGAUCUGUCCAAAUCUUCUCCCGCUGCUGGUGAGGUGGUCCCUCUGCCCUUCCCCCAUGUCACUGAUGCCACCAUCUGUGGGCGCACAGAAAGUGAAAGCCAAUACAGACUUUCAGUUUCGGAUGGCAUCACAAAAAUCUGUUCUGUUGUGGUUACAUCCUGCUGAUUCAUUUAGUGGAAGUUAUCAAGACCGUUGGAUGGAUUCCUGUAAAUCAUGUGUACCUCAGAACCAUGCAAAAUAAAUGACUGGUUUAUUACUGUAGGAUAAGGAUACACAGAGUGGACACAGUUGGCCCACAUGCCCUUUUUUCACAAAAUAUAUAUAUUUUUUUUACCUUUUAUGGGCAUAUAAAGAAUGCUGAUGUAUGGUGAGGUAUAUGGUUCUGAAGGGACUGGAUAAGACACAUCCUUCAGCCUUGCUUUCUUCAGUGUUACUGCUUGUCCCCUCUAUUAGCUGUGGUUGGAACCACAUGCACAGUGCCGAGCCAGACAGUGCAGCCUGCUUGUGGUUGGAACAUUUGCUGACUUUCACAUCAUUAAGGGAUGUAGCAACUCUGAUUCCACGAAUUGACCCUUGUUUCUCAUAAUCUUAAGGAGGCUCAACAAAGUAAAUUGUUUAUAUCUGCAAAGCAAAUAAACAAUAUUCAUAAUA